CGGAAGCCGGCGUGCACGGGGCGCGCUCCGCACAUCCUCCCUAGCCGGGUCGCUGGGAGCCGGCUGGGCUCGGUCACCCUGGAGGAUGUGCCCUUCCCGGGAGCCCCGGAAGCCAGGACAUCGAGCCUCUCUUGGCGGGACAGUUGGGGAGCUCCUCGCUCUGCUGGACCUAGGCCCUGGCCGUGUCCUCCGGAGCCCACAAUGAAGUAGCAAGGGUAGGCUGUAAACAAAUGUCGACACAGUGUGAUGGCUGCAGCGUAAAAGAAGCAUUGUGAGGUUAAACGUUACAGGGUAACAUUAAGGACGGCGGGGACCUGGAGGGUGCAGAGACGUCUCCCUGAGUUUGAAAGACCACUUCUGGUGUAAAGAGCCGUGUGUGCUGUCCCUGACCACAGAGGUCAGCUGAGUGUGGCUGAGUAACGCAGUCGGAGAUACGGCUGAAACGGUAAACUGGUCACAAAGGGGUUUAAGGGCAGUGACUCUCAAACCUGUCCGUGCACCAAAUUCCUUUGGGAGCCUAGGAAGAAGUCACCAGAUGUCUCUUCAGAUUCACUGAGCUCGAGGUGGGGCCAGAGUGCUGUUUUACAGCUAUAUUGGGUCAGAAGUUAUUUAGCCCAUUAAUUAUAAGUUCAUUUUAACUCACCAUAAUCUAGUUCUGUCUUGCCAUCUUAUCUCUACUUUUCAAAACCAGCUCUUUAUUCAGGUUGCUUUCUUAAAAGUGUUUGAUUUCCCUUCUGCAUUCCAGAAAUUAAGAAUGCCCUCCCUUCUAAAUCAUUAUUUUUGAGUAAUGGUAAUUAAGAGAAAGGAGCUUUGGUGGUGCAGUGGUUAAAGUGCUUGGUUGCUAACCAAAGGUCGGUGUUUCGAACCCACCCACCAGCCACUCGUUGGGGGAAAAACUUACAGUUUUGGAAACCCCAUGGGGGCAGUUCUACUCUGCCCUAUAGAGUCCUAUCAGUUGGAAUCGACUUGGCUCCAGUGGGUUUGGUUUUAGAUUCUAGUCCCAGCUCUAAUUCUGUGAUUUCGGAAAUACACUUUUUCUAGAUUCAUUUCCUUAUCUGUGCAAGAAAUACACUUACAAGUUGGAAAUUUCUCCUAGUGUAAAAAUUGGAUCAUUACCUAUAGGCCUAGUUUGUACCACACAUUUUUGCACUGAGCUUCUAUACCUCUUACAUUUUAUAAGAACGUUAUAUAUAUAUUAAAAAAAAAAAAAAAGCCAUCAAGUCGAUUCCGACUCAUAGCAACCCUAAAGGACAGAGUAGAAGUGCCCCACAAGGUUUCCAAAAACGUUACAGGAUAGUCAAAUUGAUAUAUCGACUUCAGAAAGCUUUGUGUUGACUUACAAGCGUUAACUAUCGAAGAACGCUAAGGCACUGGGAAGUGAGUUGUAAGUUCCCCUCCCCCCAGGAGCUGUGUACAGCCUUUGGGUCAGCCCUCAGAGUCUAUUUACUUAUAUUGUCCCUUAUCUGUACCUACUCUCUGUUCCUUAGAGGCUUGUCCUGAAGAUCAACAUCAAAAGGAAACAUUGUUUAAAAAAAAAAUUAUGUAAACAAAAAGCACUUACAAAUGUAAAUUGUUAGAAAUUAUAUUGUUCCCAAUCGCUGAUAAAAUACAUCAAAGAAAAAUGCUUCCAUAGAAGUUUUAUUUAUCCCCACAACAACCCUGUGAGGUAGGGUGAUCAGGGCAUUUAAGGAGAAAACUAAAUCUACAUUACUUGUUCACGGCUAUACUGCAUAGUAAAUAAGUAGAAAUUAAAUUGAGAUUUUUAAAUGUCCGUGACUUUAUAUUGAUUUAUGUGGAAACAGGCAGAGAGAAUAUUAACUCCCCCCUACCUUAAUGCCAAAAGGACACUGCCUUGAAAAAUCCCAUUUCAAAAGAUGAAAGUAGUAUUUCAUUGCUUAUUUCUACAAAGAUUUAUAAAAUAAAAAAAUAGUGAAGUAUUUUUACAGUUGAUAUAUCUAUCAUGGUCUCGUUCAGGGACAUGUCCUUCAGCUGUGGAUGUGAUCAGCUAUUUCAAGUCCUAGAAAUGCAAAAUCUUAAAAAAUACAAAAGACAAAAAUGGUGGUGGGCAGUCGCCUCCAUCUUCUUUAUUACUCCUCCAUGUAUCUUGAAUAGGUUCUGUGAAAUUGGGUCUGUUUUUAAACAAAGAGAAGAAAAACAAAACUCUACCACAAAGAGAUAUCUGGUCAACUUUAAUUUUGUUGCCUGCUCUUAAACCACUGUGACAUUAUUUAAAACCGUGGUUUUCCAGACCUGGCUCUCAAGGCCCGACUCUCGACUCAGUGAAAUCAUUUUCUACAUGGUGGGCCUCAAAGUAAUUCUAAUGAACAGUCAGGUUCGGGAACCACUGAUGAAAAAUGCUAAUAUUAAAAUUGUACACCUAAACUAACUAGUAUAAACUUGCUGCUCUUAUCCCCUUCUUAAAAAAAGAUCCCAAAACAUGUUAUAUCCCCAGCACUCUUGCCUCUGGGCAAGUAAAUUCAAGAUACAGAGAAACAUUUUAUAAAAAUGUAUCCUAGUUAGUGAUACUUGGAUUCCAAUAAUAAUUUAAGUAGCAUUUAAAUACAAGAUACUGAGUUUUUGUGGCCCUUCUUCUGAAUUUUUAAAAUGGAUUUUAUACAGGUUCCUAGCAGGCUUUCAACUCAGGGGAAGACAUGAAAAUAGUGACAUAAUCAAGCAUAUCAGCACUGAAAAAUUACUAUAUACUCAAAUGUAGCUCAUGAGAGGAAUCAGAAAGUGAAGGAAUGACAACCUAAGGCCUUUUGGCCCAUACAUUUUUGCUCCCAGUCCACUCUUCCCCUAUAAGGGGAAAUAAAAUAAACAUUCUUUCUUAGUUGCUUGGCAUAGUUAUUCGGUGGGUAACUAUUAACUAAGUUAAUUUAGAUAUACAAGAUUAAAAGCGAUAACUAACAAAUAAAUACCUAGAAGACAAAGAGAAGUCAGGUCAGAAAACCUAAACUAGCUGCUGAUGUGUCUGUAACCCACUGUAUCAGUACAAUUAAUGAAGGCUUCAGUGUCCUUUCCAUUUCAGCUUUCUGUGAUUAACACAGAUGUGGACGAGAUCUGAUCCUCACGAAGAAUUCUGUGCUCGCUGGAAAGAUUUGUAGGAGUAAUGAAAUGCUUUCUUCACUGAUGAGAUGAAGUCUCUCUGUUUUCAGGCAAGUUGACUGAACAAAACAAUGAAAAAUGAACUUCUGUAGAAGGCUAAAUGAAGGUAAUAUCUAGAUGGAAAAGUCAUUGGCCAAAGAUAACUUCUUUUUUAAAAAACAUUCUAUGUUUAACCCUAGAACAAAAACCCCAGAGACAUAUAAAAAAACAAACACUGUACAUAUUCAUUUCACUGACAGUUACAAGAAAAUAGCCAUUUAUAGAAGUUACAAUGCUUUCAACAAUCCCAAACAAAUUUUGGGAAACAGAUAAAGCCAUCAGGUAAAUAAAUAUACAUAUACUAGCUAAUAUAAAAACAAUUUAUGGUUACGAAUUGUCAUCAACUCUCUUUUUUAGGACCCAAGGAGAAAUAUUGUGAUAUAAAUCUGGUUAGGGCUACAUAUGUUAUACGGAAUUAAAAAACACAACUGAUUAAAACAUCAUCUCUAAUAAUGAUACAAAUAUUUAAAAUAAUGUCUUAAAAGUCAGACAUUUAUCAUGGGAAGUAUCAUAAUUUUAAUAUGUACGUCAGAGCUGUAAUGUGUACAGAGGUCACUCCUGCUGGGUCUGUGUUGGCAGGUCUCAUCCAUCUCUCCUGCAUUUACUACAGUCUUUAGGGCACACAUUUCCUGGGUGAGCUGAAGGGCUGGGCACAUCUCAAUUCGUAACAUACACACCUUCACUUCACUACAUGGAAGUGUCUCAUGUGUACUAGUAAGGGAAGGGUAAUGGAGGAUAAAACACUAAAUAGGUGGAGGGAAGCUGGAUAAAUUCUCUAAAUUAUUUUGAAGUUUUGAAUUAACAACAAAUUAAAAAUGACCCAAAUAAAGUACUGAAGAACAAAUAUUAAAUUGUUGCCAAAUGUUCUUGGGCCAUGUAAAAUUUCCCUUAGUUUAUCUCUUUCCAGAAACUUUCUGUUUUGAUUCAUCUGUCAGUUGACUUUAACUCUCCUGGCGUAGGGCUGAACCCAGCUUUACCAUUAAUAAAAUAUGGUUAUUUUAAAAGUUGGCAUUCAUUAUUAAGGUGCCUGUGUCACAGGCACAACAGUAUAGGUGCUUAUGUUUCCCUUUAAGUAUGGGAAAGCCCUUUGAAAUCGUAUUGACUUAGAAAAACUUUCAGCAGUUCUAAUGCAUGCUGGAAGUUCUGAGCCUGUAUAGGUUCUGGGGUUUGCUUGUUUGAGCGUUAGCGGGCCGGGAGCAGGGAGACAUGUAACUAGGUUCACAAUUCUCAGCAAGAGCCUAUGUAAAGGUAAGGUUAUGUACAUUUUAUUUCAAGAAAGACAGAAGACAAACAGCAUAAAGAUGCCCAGAUGCCCUACAGAUAAAUACAUUUCAAAGAAUGAAUCUGUAGUAUUUCUUUUCCUGCAAGCAAGAUACCUUUCUUUAAAUUAAAAAAAAAAAAAAAAUCAGUAUUCUGAAU